GGUUCCGGCCGUGAAAGCCCAUCUUUUACACAAGGUUGACCUCGGAUCAGGUAGGAAUACCCGCUGAACUUAAGCAUAUCAAUAAGCGGAGGAAAAGAAACAACAGGGAUUGCCCCAGUAACGGCGAGUGAAGCGGCAACAGCUCAAAUUUGAAAUCUGGCUUCGGCCCGAGUUGUAAUUUGUAGAGGAUGCUUUUGGUGAGGUGCCUUCUGAGUUCCCUGGAACGGGACGCCAGAGAGGGUGAGAGCCCCGUAUAGUUGGACMCCGAGCCUCUGUAAAGCUCCUUCGACGAGUCGAGUAGUUUGGGAAUGCUGCUCAAAAUGGGAGGUAUAUCUCUUCUAAAGCUAAAUACUGGCCAGAGRCCGAUAGCGCACAAGUAGAGUGAUCGAAAGAUGAAAAGCMCUUUGAAAAGAGGGUUAAAUAGUACGUGAAAUUGUUGAAAGGGAAGCGCUUGUGACCAGACUUGUGCCCGGCUGAUCAUCCAGUGUUCUCACUGGUGCACUCUGCCGGGCUCAGGCCAGCGUCGGUUCUCGCAGGGGGACAAAAGCUUCGGGAACGUAGCYUCUCCGGGAGUGUUAUAGCCCGUUGCUC
rnacentral:rRNA from 1 species